GUUUCGCUGUAAAUGGAAGUUGAUAUCCCUCUAUACUAAAUCAGAAGUCACCUCGCCAAUCAAAACCUGACAACCGGAAUUUUUUUUUUUAAAAAGUUAGUUAUCCAUCGAAUUGGAUAAAAAUCUAUGCCACUACAAUAUAAAUAACUGUAAAAGAAAAACUAUCUCUAACAAUAAAAAAACUCCACAAUCCUUGAUUCAUGGUACAAUUCAAACAGUUUUAUUUCCUAUAUAUUCUCAGUUUAUAAAUCAUCUUUUCUAUUUGCUCUUUGCAUCGUCAUCUCCAAAGCAUGUUUUUUUGGGUUUUGAGUGUAGUAACAAACAAUGCGAAAUAAAGACAGUGAUAAAAGUUUCAGACUUCCACACAAGAAAGGAGACAUACAGAAUUGGGUUUCUUCAAUUGAAGAAGUAGCCGCUUUUAUAUUUGUCGAUUUAUUUGAUUUGAGUUUCUUUCUGAUUAUUUAUUUUUCCUUUACAGAUUACUGUUGGUGGUUAACAGGUUCGUAGUUUUUUUCUUAAAGAAAAGACAACGCGUCUGCACAGAUAGAUUGACCAUGAAAAUACUAAAG